GGAAUUUUGGACAAUGGGGGCAACCCUGAUCCAGCAAUGCCGCGUGAGUGAAGAAGGCCUUCGGGUUGUAAAGCUCUUUUGUCAGGGAAGAAACAGCAGCUUUAACACAGUCUGCGAAUGACGGUACCUGAAGAAUAAGCACCGGCUAACUACGUGCCAGCAGCCGCGGUAAUACGUAGGGUGCAAGCGUUAAUCGGAAUUACUGGGCGUAAAGCGUGCGCAGGCGGUUAUGUAAGACAGGCGUGAAAUCCCCGGGCUUAACCUGGGAAUUGCGCUUGUGACUGCAUAGCUAGAGUAUGUCAGAGGGGGGUAGAAUUCCACGUGUAGCAGUGAAAUGCGUAGAGAUGUGGAGGAAUACCAAUGGCGAAGGCAGCCCCCUGGGACAAUACUGACGCUCAUGCACGAAAGCGUGGGGAGCAAACAGGAUUAGAUACCCUGGUAGUCCACGCCCUAAACGAUGCUGACUAGUUGUUCGGGAAUUUAUUCCUGAGUGACGUAGCUAACGCGUGAAGUCAGCCGCCUGGGGAGUACGGUCGCAAGAUUAAAACUCAAAGGAAUUGACGG
rnacentral:rRNA from 1 species